GAUGAACGCUGGCGGCGUGCCUAAUACAUGCAAGUCGAGCGAACGGACGAGAAGCUUGCUUCUCUGAUGUUAGCGGCGGACGGGUGAGUAACACGUGGAUAACCUACCUAUAAGACUGGGAUAACUUCGGGAAACCGGAGCUAAUACCGGAUAAUAUUUUGAACCGCAUGGUUCAAAAGUGAAAGACGGUCUUGCUGUCACUUAUAGAUGGAUCCGCGCUGCAUUAGCUAGUUGGUAAGGUAACGGCUUACCAAGGCAACGAUGCAUAGCCGACCUGAGAGGGUGAUCGGCCACACUGGAACUGAGACACGGUCCAGACUCCUAUGGGAGGCAGCAGUAGGGAAUCUUCCGCAAUGGGCGAAAGCCUGACGGAGCAACGCCGCGUGAGUGAUGAAGGUCUUCGGAUCGUAAAACUCUGUUAUUAGGGAAGAACAUAUGUGUAAGUAACUGUACACAUCUUGACGGUACCUAAUCAGAAAGCCACGGCUAACUACGUG
rnacentral:rRNA from 1 species